rnacentral:rRNA from 1 species
UGGGGAAUUUUGGACAAUGGGCGAAAGCCUGAUCCAGCAAUGCCGCGUGUGUGAAGAGGGCCUUCGGGUUGUAAAGCACUUUUGUCCGGAAAGAAAUCCUUGGCUCUAAUACAGUCGGGGGAUGACGGUACCGGAAGAAUAAGCACCGGCUAACUACGUGCCAGCAGCCGCGGUAAUACGUAGGGUGCAAGCGUUAAUCGGAAUUACUGGGCGUAAAGCGUGCGCAGGCGGUUUGCUAAGACCGAUGUGAAAUCCCCGGGCUCAACCUGGGAACUGCAUUGGUGACUGGCAGGCUAGAGUAUGGCAGAGGGGGGUAGAAUUCCACGUGUAGCAGUGAAAUGCGUAGAGAUGUGGAGGAAUACCGAUGGCGAAGGCAGCCCCCUGGGCCAAUACUGACGCUCAUGCACGAAAGCGUGGGGAGCAAACAGGAUUAGAUACCCUGGUAGUCCACGCCCUAAACGAUGUCAACUAGUUGUUGGGGAUUCAUUUCCUUAGUAACGUAGCUAACGCGUGAAGUUGACCGCCUGGGGAGUACGGUCGCAAGAUUAAAACUCAAAUGAAUUGACGGGGUCAUAGCUGUUUCCU